rnacentral:rRNA from 1 species
GAUGAACGCUGGCGGCGUGCUUAACACAUGCAGGUCGAACGGGAUCCCAGGGGUGCUUGCACUUUUGGGGGGGGGGGGGGAAGGGGGGGGAAAAACGUGUGUAACCUUUCCUUUUCUUGGGGAAAGCAAUCGGAAGGGGUUUUUAAUACCUUAUGUCUGUCCUCCUUGGAAUGGGUGGGUGGGAAAGGGCUUGGCCGGGAUUGGGUGGGCUUGCGGUCUAUCAGGGUGUUGGUGGGGUGAUGGCUUACCAAGGCUUUGACGGGUAGGCGGCCUGAGAGGGUGGUCGGUCACAUUGGGACUGAGAUACGGCCCAGACUCCUGCGGGAGGCAGCAGUGGGGGAUAUUGCACAAUGGGCGAAAGCCUGAUGCAGCGACGCCGCGUGGGGGAUGAAGGCCUGCGGGUUGUAAACUUCUUUUGCUCUGAACAAGGCAUGCCAGUGGGUGUGUUGAGUGUAGGGGUUGAUUAGCGCCGGCUAACUACGUG